rnacentral:lncRNA from 1 species
UCUCCAGAAUCACGCGAGCAUGGCUGAUUUCUUCUCGUUGUCAAAUGAGUUUCUGUGGGCAAGAGAGUAAUGUGCCAAGGAAGGUACAUCAAUUAUCAAAGAUGAAUCUGAACUGGGUGAAAAAAUCUCUUGGAUUUGCAAAGAAGCGUGAUUUCGACUCGAUAUUAUUGGAUUUUCAACAGGAAUGAUUGGUUCUGGUUUUCUUGGCUUUGCAGAGAAAAUUAAGUAUGCGAUCCUCCAAAUAUAUAUAUAUAUAUAUCAUCUUCAAAUCAUUUCAUGUAGACUGUCCUAAAUUUCUAUAAAACUCCAUGGUUUGUCAUGGAAUUUCUGUCAAUGUAAUAUGAAUUUGUAUUGAAGAAUUGAAGUAACUUUACUUACGCC